GCCGCCAUGGUGAAAUUGGUAGACACGCUGCUCUUAGGAAGCAGUGCUCAAGUAUCUCGGUUCGAAUCCGAGUGGCGGCA
rnacentral:tRNA from 1 species